rnacentral:rRNA from 1 species
CAGCGCCACGAGUGGGAACUGUAAUUAUUGGGCCUAAAGCGUCCGUAGCCUGUUUGAUAAAUUUCUUGUGAAAUUGUUAAGCUUAACUUAACAGCGUGCAGGAAAGACUGUCAAACUUGGGACUGGGAGGGGUUGGAAGUAUCUUUGGGGUAGCGGUAAAAUGCUAUAAUCCUAAAGAGACUACCUAUGGCGAAAGCAUCCAACCAGAACAGGUCCGACGGUGAGGGACGAAAGCCAGGGGAGCAAACCGGAUUAGAUACCCGAGUAGUCC